UUGUGUCUGAACUCCCAGGAUCUGCCAGGACCUCCCUCGGUGGCGGAAGAGCGAGAGGCGGGGCGAGUGUGCUCAGAGGCCUCCCGGGUGGGGCUGGGCGCCCUCUCUGGCGGGAGGGAGAACUACAACUCCCACGGGCCAGCCCCUCCCCUCCCCUCCCCUCCCAUUGGCUGAGCCAGUCCCGGGGGCUCCGUGUGCCGAGGGCGGGCCAGGCCCAUCCUGGGUGGGGGUCCCGGUGUCCCCGGUUGAGGGCGAACUACAACUCCCAGGAGGGAAGGAAGGAAGGCCUCACAGUCCGUGGCUUCACAGGCCUCUCUCUGCCCACACAAGCCCCGCCUUGCCGCCCGUCAAUCAAAGGAGGGGGAGCGGCAGGCAGCCAAUGGGGUUCCUCCGGUGGGCGGGGCAUCCCGGGCUCAGCCAAUGGGAGGGGGCGAGGGCGGGCUCCGGGGAAGGAGGAGGACGAAGGGGAAGAUGGCGGCGCCUGGCCUGGCCUGAGGCCUGGUCUGUGUCUGUGAGGCGGGAAAGAAGGCGGCGGAGGGAAGAGGACGGAGAGGCCGAGAGAGAGAGAGAGAGGACAUGAGACUUCUCUGGAGCCACCCCUGCCAUGAUGGGAAACGAACCAGCUUCUAGUAGAUAUUAAGGCAUCUGGAAACCAAAGUGCAGUAAGGAAACCAGUCCCCUAGGAAAAAGGAUUCCUCUCAAGGGGCUGAUCCUGCUGAAUUCCUACAUUCACUUUGGAUUAUAGAGUAGAACCAUAGAGUCAGAAGAGACUGCAUGAGGCACCCAGUCCAGGCCUCUGCCAUGCAGGAAAAGCACAAAGUACCCCUGACAGAUGAGCAUCUAGCCUCUGUUUAAAGGAUUCCAAAGGAGCCUUCAUUACAUUUUGAGGCAGAGAGUUCCACUGCUGAACAGCUCUUACAGUCAGGAAGUUCUUAAUGUUCAGAAGGAAUCUCCUUUCCUGUAAUUUGAGCCCACUGCUGUGAGUAAUCAGAAAGGGAAAAACAAGAAUCAAGUAUCAACAUUGGAACUGAAUGUACAUAACACUGCUGACAUGGAGGAGAGAGCAUAUAAAUGUAUUGACUGCGGAAAGAGCUUUAGUUAUAGUUCAGCUCUACAAACACAUCAAAGGACUCACACUGGGGAGAAACCCUUUACAUGCCUGGAGUGUGGACAGAGCUUUGCUCAGAAGGGAAACUUACAAGCACAUCAAAGAACUCACACUGGGGAGAAACCCUAUAAAUGCCUAGAGUGUGGACAAAGCUUUAUUACAAGUGGAAGUCUACGUUCACAUCAAAGGACUCACACUGGGGAGAAACGCUAUAACUGCCUGAAGUGUGGAAAGAGCUUUACUCAGAAGGGAAGCUUACAAAUACAUCAAAGGACUCACACUGGGGAGAAACCUUAUAAAUGCUUGGAGUGUGGAAUAAGCUUCAGACAGAAUGAAGCUCUACGUUCACAUCAAAGGACUCACACUGGGGAGAAGCCCUUUAAAUGCCUGGAGUGUGGACAGAACUUCAAUUAUAGUUCAACUCUACGUCAACAUAAAAGGACUCACACUGGAGAGAAACCCUAUACAUGCCUGGAGUGUGGACAGAGCUUCGCUCGUAAUGGAAGUUUACAUUCACAUCAAAGGACUCACACUGGGGAGAAACCUUAUAAGUGUCUUGAGUGUGGACAGAACUUCGCUCAUAGAUCAGGUCUAUUUUCACAUCAAAGGACUCACACUGCGGAGAAACCCUAUAAAUGCCUGGAGUGUGGACAGAGCUUUUCUCAUAGUGGAAAUCUACGUUCACAUCAAAGGACUCACACUGGGGAGAAAGCAUAGAAAUGCAUGGAGUGUGUCUAUAAUAUAUUAUAACAUUAUAGACAUUGUAUAAUUCACCCUGGAGAGAAUGGUGUUAAUUGUCACCAGAGUGUCAUUCUAACAUGUACAAAAGUAACUCUUGCAAAUUUUGGAAAUGCAAGCUCAGAGUUGGGACAUUUCAUCACAUGUGGUGUAUUGUAGAAAGAUCGAACUAAAAUACGUUCCAUUCUGAAAGUUUAGUUUAUAUAUCCAGAUCCGAGACUUGACAGAGAUCUGACCCGUCUCUUGUAGCAAGAUUACAUUAGGCUCACAGCUUGGGAGGCUAAGGAUGCUUAUUAAAAAAUUUGUCUGGAUGGCUUCUAAAGCCUUGACACUUUUGAAUGCACAUAAUUGUGCUCCAUAUAACAUUUGUGGUAAGAUUUUAGCAUUAAAAACUUGAAUUGGUGAAGGUACAUGCUGGCCUCUUUUAGCAUAAAAAAAUGACAUAAGUGAGUUGUAACUCUGCUGAGCAUUUGUUAUAGCAUGGGACACUUGAGCUUUCCAGGAACCGGUGGAUUGGAAAAUGACUCCUAGAUAUUUAUACAGUUUGACUUGUUCUAUUGGGUGCCCCAUUGAUUUGCCAGCUGUGUGAGCAUCUUUUCCGAGUAAAGUCUAGCACGAUUGAUUCAUCAUAAUUAAUUGCUAGCUGUUCAGUAUUACAGUACACAUCUAAUGUUUUUAGAAGCCGCCUCAGCCCAACACGUUAAUGAUAAAAGUACCGCAUCAUCUGCAUAAAGUAAAACUGAUACUGCUCUCCCAUCCAAUUUAGGGGGGUGAGGGUUUAUUUCUAAGAGUGAGUUCACCACAGGGUUAAUAUAAAUAUUAAAGUGGGAGCAAGAACACAACCUUGCUUUACUCCCGUAAAUGAGGGUAUCGGAAUGUCAGAUGGCCUUCGCGGUUACAUCUUACUUGCAAAUGUGUUUUUUCAUAGAGGCUGCGAAUGAGAGCCAGCAGACGCCUGUCUAUGUUGGUGGUAUCAAGUUCGCUCCAAAGUCUGUUUCUUGAGAUUGAGUCAAAUGCAGACUUAAAAUCUAUAAAGGCUGUGUAAAGUGCUGCCCUGGAGGGAGAGGAAUAUUUUUCUACUAAAUGUUGCAAUAUUAGGCUCUGACCAACAGUUGAGCGUCUGAUCCUAAAACCAGCUUGUUCCUCUUCUAAGAAGUUUUCUUCUUCCAACCAGGUUAAUAGUUUGUCUAGCAAUCCAUUUGCUGAUGAUGCUUAGAAGGCUAAUUGGUCUGUAGUUGGCAGGAUCUGAUCUGUUGCCUUUUUUAUAAAUAGGGAUAAUUAUUGCAAGCCCCCAGUCAGAUGGUAUACAAGCAGACCGGUCAGUGCAUGUGAACAGAACUGCUAAGACAGGUAUCCACCAGUCAGAGUUUGAUUUCAGCAGUUCAGGGGGCACAUGAUCACUUCCUGGGGCUUUGCUUGGUUUAAGUUCAGAAAUAAGUCUGCCAAUUUCAGAUGUUGAAAUGGGGCCAGUUUGGUAGCCCCUUUAGAUCUUGUGGUGUUAGUAAAUCUCCAGCUUGCCUCCAUCCACUCAUACUGAUGAAGAAUUUUUCCCACGGUUGUUGUAUGUUUUCCGGGCUGUAUGGCCAUGUUCUAGAAGUAUUCUCUCCUGACGUUUCGCCCACAUCUAUGGGAGGCAUCCUCAGAAGUUGUGAGGUAUGGAGAAACUCAGCAAGGAAGGUUUAUAUAUAUCUAUGGAAAGUUCAGGGUAAGGGAAGAACUCUUGUCAGUUGGAGGCCAGCGUGAAUGUUGCAGUUAAUCACCCUAAUUUGCAUUGAAUGGCUUCAUCUACUGGCUACUUUCUGCCUGGGGCAUCCUUUGUUAGCUGCCCCUAGUUCCCAUGUCUCAGAGGGUUGCUUCUUAUUUACUGUUCUGAUUUUUGAGUUUUUCAAUACUGGUAGCUAGAUUUUGUUCAUUUUCAUGGUUUCCUCCUUUCUGUUGAAGUUGUCCACAUGCUUGUGAAUUUCAAUGGCUUCUCUGUGUAGUCUGACAUGUUGGAGUGGUCAAGCAUUUCUGUGUUCUCAAAUAACAUACUGUGUCCAGGUUGGUUCAUCAAGUGCUCUGCUAUGGCUGAUUUCUCUGGUUGAGUGAGUCUGCAGUGCCUUUCAUGUUCUUUGACUCGUGUUUGGGCGCUGCCUUUGGUGGUCCCUAUGUGUACUUGUCCACAGCUGCAUGGUAUACGGUAGACUCCUGCAGAGGAGAGAGGAUCUCUCUUGUCCUUCGCUGACCAUAGCAUUUGUUGGAUUUUCUUUGUGGGUCUGUAGAUAGUUUGUAGGUUGUGAUUCUUCAUCAGUUUGCCUAUGCGGUCAGUGGUUCCCUUGAUGUAUGGUAAGAACACCUUUCCUCUGGGUGGAUCUUUGUCUUUACUCUCCUGGCUUGCUCUUGGCCUUGCAGCUCUUCUGAUGUCCAUGGUGGAGUCUCCAUUGGCCUGUAGAGCCCAGUUUAGGUGGUUUAGUUCACCUUGGAGGAGGCAAGGUUCGCAGAUUCUUUGUCUGUCAGGGCUUUGAUUGUGCUUCUUUUUUGACUUGGGUGAUGGUUGGAGUUUUUAUGAAGGUAUCUAUCUCUGUGUGUAGGUUUUCUGUAAACUGUGUGGCCCAAUUGUUGAUUGGGUUUGCGGAUGACCAGAACAUCUAGAAAUGGCAGUUUUCCUUCCUUUUUCUUUUCUAUGGUGAAUUGGAUGUUUGGGUGGAUGCUGUUGAGGUGGCCCAUGGACUUGCUGGGUUCCUCUUCCCCAUGGCUCCAAAUGGUAAAGGUAAAAAUGGUAAUUUCCCCCAUGAUUUCACAGGGAUGUGGAAGUCUAAUCCAUGAGGCAUGCUUUGCCAACCCCCAGACACUAUCUUCCAAAAGGCAGCUGUGUCAUGUGUUCGCGAAGCAGCAGUUAGUUUCUGCCAGUUUGAUCUCAAUACCUGUUUCUUUUUUUCCUUAAUUAAGUUUUUGUAUUUCUUCUUCAAUUGCAGCCAUUCUCCAGGUAGUGAUGCCAAGUUUGACUUCCUGUACCCUUUGUACUUUUCGAGGAGCAACUUCUUCAUUUCUAGACACUCUUGUUCAAACCAAGAUUUGGAUGAAAAAUGGCAAAAGUGCUUUUUAGUGUGGUUAUUGCACUGCAGGUAUUUUUGCAGUUGUCUAAUGAGGUCCUGAUAUGAGCGCAGUACAUCUUCUGGUGUUUUUGCAGAUAGGAGGGCAUCUCUUAAUUUGAGAGUGCUUUCUGAAUAUAGAGCAGCCUCAAGUCUGAUUCCAGGUUCAGACUCUGUAAGUAAGCCCCAUGCCUCAAGAUUUAGGACUGCACUUAAAGGUAAAUGGUCACUCUCAGUUCGUACCACCACUUUGAAGCAUAUGACUAGAUUUAACAAAUUAUGUGAUACUAUUAAGUAUUUGAUUGUUGAUGCCCCCAUGCCAGAUGUAAAGCUGAAUUCACCAUUUUGUAUCUUUCCACUCCCCCAUUCAAGAUCACUAGGUCCAAAUGAAACUAGAGUUUUACAUGUUGAGAAUAUUGGAUGAUCAAUUAGAAUGAAAACUUGGAUAGUUACUGCAAUAUACUAAUGUAAGAAUUGACUCUACACAGGGAUGGAAGGAAUGUUUUAUUCCAAAGCAAAAACAAUGGCUCAUGAAGACCUACAAAUUAGCCAAAGCAAACGAACUGACAACAACAUGGGCAAAUGUCAGUUGUAAUAUGUAUUAAUUGGAUGAGUGUUAUCAGAAAUAUAAGUGUGGUUAUAUUAUCUAAAGGAAGUAGAAUAAUGAGAGAUAAAAAUUAACAGAAUGAGGCCUUUAGGCACGUAUCCCUGUCUGUUUUCUAGUUCAGUUGUGUGUCUGUGUAGGUAACUGUUUCGUUAGUGUGUUUCUGAUUUAGUUUUGUAUCUCAUUUAGUAGUUAGUUUCAUGUGUAGUUGAUGUAUUAUAUCUAAAUUCUGUCUUUCUUGUAUUGCUGCUUUUAAUUUCUCUUUUUUGAUUUUUUUUUAUUUGCAAAAAAGAGGUGGAUUUAUAAGGGUCAAAACUGCUGAAACUGGUUUUAGCCCAAAAUGGGGUUUAAUGUUUAAUCUAGACUGCCUCUGAACAUCAUUUCCUUCCUCCGUGUUGGUGGCAUGGGUUUGGAUUCAAUUGUCUUGCUUCAGACAUUAUUGUUCCUAUUAUGCUUUAUACAACAUGUAUUCACUGCUUUGAUCACCAUCUAUUCUUUUUCACUGUCUUGUCUGUCCCUCAAACUCCUUCAGUAUGUUCUGUUGGUCUGUUGGCCAUCAGGGUUCUGUGUGCUAAGCUUGGUCCCCAUCCGUCAUUGGUGGGCUUCCGAAUGCUCUCUGGAUGCAGGGUGAACUACAACUCCAGAAUCUGUGUGCCAAGUUUGGUCAACAGCUUGUUUUAUUCUGAACCCAAAGGGUUCCUGUUCUUUUGAUGCAGAGUGUUCAGGAAAGAGUGAGGUCUGUUAGAUCACGGAGGCACUUCAGAGACAAAUCUGGUUGCUUUGCUGUGAAACCAUGCAAACACGUUCACACAAAUUGGAAGAUUUGGUUCAUACGGAUUUUAAGUUAAUAACUUUUAAAAAAUAGAAGAUAAAAUUUGGAAAGCCCGGGAUGGUGGAGCCUCUGAUGUUAUGAGCUUAGCGGUAGAGGAUGCUCUGAGAUGGAGGCGGAGGCUAGAUGUUAUAAGCUAAGCAGUGGAGGAGGCUACGUGAGAAGGAGGCCACUAGAUGUUAUAAUCUCAGUGGUAGACGAGGCUCUGAGAUGGAGGCCACUAGAGGUUAUAAGCUGAAUGAUGGAGGAGGCUCUGAGAUGGGAGGCAGCCGCUAGAGGUUAUAAGCUGAAUGGUGGAGGAGGCUCUGAGAUGGAGAAGACCACUAGAUGUUAUAAGCUGAACAGUAGAGGAGGCUCUGAGAUGGAGGAGGCCUCUAGAGGUUAUAAGCUGAGCAGUAGAGGAGGCUCUGUGAUGCAGGCGGCCAGAGGUUAUAAGCUGAGUGGUGGAGGAGGCUCUGUAAUGCAGGUGGCCAGAGGUUAUAAGCUGAACGGUGGAGGAGCUCUGUAAUGCAGGCGGCCGCCAGAAGAUAUAAGCUGAGUGGUGGAUGACGGGUCCCAAAAGUUACCUAUGUCUCCAGUAAUCAUCUCUCUUGGUUCUAUAAUUUCCUCAUAGCCCUGUGCGUUGUAUGUUUUUGCCCUGUUUCUCCUUCCGCUCCCCCCCCCCCCCGCCAUAUUGUGCUUUAAUAUCUUUACAUUUUAAAUGUACUAAACGUACCAAGUUUGUAUGUAACUGUAACCUUUAUUUCCUUUGCUGGUUUAUGACCGAAAUAAAUGAUGUGAUUUGAAA